GUGUGUCAUUCUCCUUCAACAAAAUCAGAAGAGAAUGUCAACUUUUUGAUAUAAAUCUAAAUGAAACAGAGACAUGGGUCGAUGAUGUUGGAAACGAAAUUUUUACACUGCAAACAGAGGGCGAAAACCUGGUCAGGGAUAAACCCACUUAUAGCAGUAGUGUAGUUACUGGUCGUUCGAGUGGGCAAGCUGUAGACGGGGACAUCACACCACAAUAUAAUGCUUCACAGUCUUUUUGUUUUCAAACCCCCAACACCGACUACAAUCCGUGGUUUAUUGUGGAUCUAGAAGAUGUUUAUAGAAUCAUCUUUGUUGUUGUCUAUAAUGCUGAUGAUUAUCCUGAACGACUACAUGAUGUUAAUUAUGAAGUAUUUCAAACGAACCCGGAUGUUAACAACUCGGACGUCCCCAACUGCUGUGCAUCUGUGCCGAAUUUCAAUAAA